rnacentral:rRNA from 1 species
GACGUAGGGCGCGAGCGUUUGUCCGGAUUUAUUGGGCGUAAAGAGCUCGUAGGCGGCUUGUCGCGUCGUUCUGUGAAAUCCCGCGGCUCAACCGCGGGUCUGCAGUCGAUACGAGCAAACUAGAGUGUUGCAGGGGAGACUGGAAUUCCUGGUGUAGCGGUGAAAAUGCGCAGAUAUCAGGAGGAACACCGGUGGCGAAGGCGGGUCUCUGGGCAACAACUGACGCUGAGGAGCGAAAGCGUGGGGAGCGAACAGG